AGGAGGAGGAGAAGGAGCGUUUGAGAACUUGCCGGGAGAGUUCCUCGCUCACCUCAGAGUCAGUGUAGCGCUGGGGAGGGGAGGAGAGGAGAGGAGAGGGGGGAGCCUCAGCAUGUCUCUGUCUUCCUCACCAGGCAUGCUCAGCACGGAUUCUUCCUCGCAGGGCUCGGACGCCGCGAGGGAGCCACGGGGGACGACGAUCCAGCGGUGAUGGGCCCGGUUCCAGAGAACGUCCAGGGGUUCCGAGGCAAAUGAAGCCAGUGCAACAUGUUCAGUGUAGAGGAUCUCCUGAUUUCUCAUGGAUACAAAUUGCCUAAAGGCUCCACAAAUUUGUAUGAGAACAGAACUGACGGAUUCCAGCAUGAGAUCACAGACAGGAGAGCUGCUCAUAGAACUGUGAAUGGGUUCCCUGCCAGCUCUGGAGCUCAUGUCAGCAGCAAGAAGACGGUAACCAAAAGCUACCUGGAUGACAGUGAAAGUAGUCCUGCCAUCCAAGGGAGGCAGUUGGGCCCCAAUUACCAUAAAGACUUCCAGAGGUUGGCCAAUGCUGGUGCUUCAGAGGGAGGGUUUUAUGACCGACCACAGUUAGCCUGGUCUUCGUGUCCCAAGACGGAUAAAGAUCUUGCCUACUGGAGAAGACGAGGCCAAGAUUUUAGUGCACUGUUAGGUUAUACUGACAGAGGAGACUCCGAAAUGAAAGGAAAGGCAUUGCCCUGCGCCUUCUAUGGGCAUGAGAAGGAAAGUCAGUGGGAGGUAGGAGGUGAGAUGGUGAAUGUGAGGAGAACAGGCGUGCAGGAGAACUGGAACCCCCCUGGAGACUACCGGUGGCAAAGUUUAAAGACAGAAGGGUGGAGCCAGCCAACCAACUUUGGAGGACUCGUGGUUGAUGGUGACAGAGAGAGGCUGCUUCAAGAUACAUAUUUGGUGAGACAAGGAGGCAUUGCCGUUUCCUCCCAUGUAAAGGGGAAAUCGCAAUCUUUGCCAAGAGUUCUUUCACCGGAGAGCCUGAGGUAUGUUGAAAUGCCCCCCUUGGUCAACAGCAAGCACUCGCUCAGUGGAAUGAAAUCAACUUCUUGCCCCCCAACUGGAUUGGGCUUGGAACUCUCUAGAUCAUUUGAGCCCGCAACCCACUUCCUUCCUUUGCCCAAGCCCAAAUAUGGCAGACCCCUUAAGCCCCCUUCAUAUGAGCUUCAUCAGCAGACCAGGGGAAACCUGGACACCGGUUUGCUUCAGGAUGACCAACGAAAAGAUGAAGCCAUCUCCUGUUUGGCCAAAGUGAGUGAGCAGAUUCAGGAUCCUUACAGUCAAGACUCUGGUCUGGGGCCCCCUUUGUACAUACCCCCUCCGUGUUACAAAUCCCCAGCUCAGCAAAGUACAAACCAACAUUUGCCUGGUGAAAUGCCCGACUAUGAUGUGUGCUUUAAUAAUGGUGUGCAGAGUCCUGUGGAAAGAGAGGGAGCCGUCCUUGGUUACCAGCCCUCCGCUAGCACCAUUAAGGCUGGACGUGAACACUGUAAAGAUGAACAGGUUCCUCUCAACCAGAAACGCCACCCGAGGCAUGUGGAGGGCCACCUGUCUUCUGUCCAGUACAUUCCUUUUGAUGACCCUCGAAUACGGCAUAUUAAAAUAGCACACCUGGACAGUCUUCGGGAGGGUGACAAAACUGCUGGGGAUACAAAUAGGCUAAGUCCGUGUGCCUUCCAAGAUUGUUCUCUGGAACCAGAGUACAACAGUGCCUUUUCAGACUUGCUUAACACUGCUGGGAAAUGCAACCAGAGCCCUGGCAGCUCUGCACAAAGCAGCAGAUGGUCCAGCAUAGAUCAAGACAGUUGUGCCUUGCCUAUCCAAAGAGACAGUUAUGAUGCAGGUAAUGACUUGAAUCACAAAUACUCCCAUGGCAGGCAGGCUGCACAGAGCCCGCUAACGGAACCCCCCUGCAAGACGAUCACUAAAGUGAAGACGUUUGAACCUGGGACCGAGAUCCAGAGCAAGAGGAGUUCAAAGAAGAAAACCAACGAGACAAUAUUUUGCUUGGUCUCCAUCCCAGUUAAAUCUGGACUGGACCUGCCAGAUACUGAUAGGAACAACAACUUAACACAGGGAGCCGAUGAGAAGAAUGGGCUUGAUAACAGUGUGGUUCUGCAGGAACAAAGUCUCCUAAGCACCUCCUCCACAGACUUGGAGCUCCAAGCCCUUACAGGAAGCAUGACCAAUAAGAAUGAGCUACAAAAACAGGAGCGGUGGUGGAGACCGGAGUUCAAACAAACAAAUGACCUCAGAUUCCUGCAGCCUACAAAGCACAAGGAGCUCCAGUACUCUGGCUCAUGGCCAGGCGAUCAGUACAAAGACCAGCAAACGCAGACCAGCUUCGUGGAAGAACCCCAGAUCUUGCGGCGGCGUCUCCAUGGCUUUGAACCUAGUGGGUUAAAUAUGGUGACGGUGCCGCAGUUGUUAAGAGAUGGGACAUCCACUGCAGAGGCAGAACAACCAACUAUGUUAGCUGCCGACAACAGAAAAUGUAGGCAGGCUGCAUCCAAUGUAAAAGCUCCAAGGUGUCUUGAGAAAUCCAGCAACAGUGUGGGUUCAAGGAGUGUAGUCCAUAGCCCAAAGGCAUGCCGGGACCUGCCUUGUGUGUCAUGCACCACUCUUCCUAGGCAGGAAAAGGAAGCUAGAUCUGUCCUCGAGGAAGGAAGCGUCCCUUGCAAGAGUAAGGAGCUGUUUGGACAGUUCCUCUUGAAACCUGUCAGCCGCCGUCCUUGGGAUAUAAUAAGUGAGCUGGAAAGUUUUAACAAGGAGCUUCAAGAGCAGGAAGAGCAUAGUGAAAAUGGUGUGGAGAGUGAGGAGCAUCAGGAGAGAGAAGAGGAGAAGGGAGGGACGACAGAGAGUGAGACCUGUAGGACUGAUGGGCCAAGCCAGGACCAUAGACCUGGUAUGCAGUCAGCAGCUGUCAUAUCAGUCACUCCCAUAUUUAAACAGGAGAGGGAUAAAAACAAAUCUGACAGUUCAAGUGCAUCUGAAAGUUCAACUGCAAGGGUCGUGUCGAGAGACCUUUAUGUACGUGCCAGGUCACAAAGUUGCUUGCAGGCAAAAGAGAUGGGUGGUUCAGUUAAGGCCACAAACGAACGUGUUGUUGCAGAAUCGAGAAAGCAUGAAUCUGAAGAAAGGACAAUAAAACAGGCUAUGAGUCCACAACCAGUUAAAAAAGUUCUGUCAGGUAGCUACGGAGAUGAGGAUCGCUGCAAUCCGUUCAACAGCAUCAACUUCAGGGAGGAAAUAAAAGUUAAAAAUCAAAGAGACAGUGUUGUUGACUUUGAUAAGCUGAAGAAAAAUGCAGCAACGAGGAAUAAUUUGGCUUUGGAAAGGGGAUCUGUAGGGCUAUUGUAUUUUACAAAUAGGAAUCAAGGUCUCUCUGAGCCAGAUUUGAGAUCUGUGGGAUUUGAUGAUGGCCAAGGGCCUGAACUAGAUAGUUACGGGAAGACCAUCCUCAGUGAGAUUCCCCCAAAUGAAUCGCUUCAGGCAAGAGCUGCCCGGAUCCUGGGCAUAGAGGUAGCUAUGGAGUCCCUCAUGCCUGACAACAACACUCUUCAGAAUGAACACUCUGACUCUGACAAGGCUCCCCAGAGCCUUGAACUGCCAGAAGAAAUGGUGCUAGAGGGCAAGAUCGAAGCCAAAACGGCUUCUUACGAAGGGAGGCGAAAGUGUGGCUGGACAGAAAGCUCCCUCUUUUUUGGAGACAGAAAGAUCACAUUGGGAUCUAUUGAGGAUCAGAAUGCUGGUCAAAAAUCUUUGAUAGCUGAACAAAGCUUUGAGCAUCUUAAAGGUCUCACCAGAGAAGACCAAACUCCUUCUCUUGUGUCUGUUGUGCCUCCAUGUGCUGAAAGAAACUUGGUUCCACCCAGUGUGGAAAAGAGAGCUAGGACUACUUCCAAGGUGAUUGAGACUUUGCAAGGCAAACUUGCAUCUGCCCCUAGCCGAGCUGCCAUGGAUCGUUUGGUGAGGAUGAAAGAAGUUGACUCGGUCUCUCGAAUGAGACGUCUGAGCAUAAAAAACACAGAUUUGGGUGAGGAUGGAGAUGAAGACAAACAGCCAAAAGGUCCAGAGGAAAGAGGAAGUGACAUCUCCUUCAGUCAAAAUGAAUUGCCCCGAAAACUGUCCCACGGGAGUUCCGUCUCUAGGCGCAUCAUCUCUCUGGGUGAAAAUGGACUCUCGGGCAACAUGAAUGAGAAGAAAACUGGAAGGGAUUUAGUUUGUUUAGGUAAGAUCAAAAUUUCCCCAAGGUUUGUGUAGGUGGUACUUUUGCUAGGUGAUGACUAUACACUUCAUCUGAAGAGUCCUUGAAAAGAAAGAGUCUUUUUCUGUUUCCAUCUCAGAUAUGAAUUUUGCUGCUGUUGUUUAAUUGCAAGUAAGCAAACAAGCAGAAAAAGCUGCCAGUCAGUGCCUGGGAUAUUUACCCUAGUAAAAUCCAUGCCUUGCAUGUCAACUAGAUAUACACACACAAGAAAAAUAACACCCCUUUGACAGUUGUCGCUCUGUGUUCCAGACAUAUUCUUGACAUAUUUGACAUAUAAACAAUAACUGAGCACACCCAGCAAGAGGAAAGUCCUGCUUCUCACUGUUGUUUCGUCAUGGUUUAGGGAAGGUGAAAGAAUGAAAGAGAGAGAGAGAUGCAGAAAGCAUCCUGUCAAAUUUCCUGGGACUCCACUCAAGUGAUGGCUAAACCAUCACUAUAAGGCUUCUCCUUCCUACUAAUUGCUAAGUUCACAGCAGCUGUUUUGUGGAUGAAGCCGUGCUGCUUUUAGGAAGGAAUUAUGAUAAAUCAAUAUGGUACACUCUCUGGACUUCUCUUUGAGGUUCAAGUGCCAUUUUGGGGUUCAAUCUCAUACACAAGCAAAACCACAUGAAGAUGUAGGGAGGGCGGCACAGCCAAGCCCCACCCUCCCUAGCCCUCCUAGACAUUUUAGAGCCCACUAUGAGUUUGAGGAUGAAUGUCAGACGUGUGGAGUGGAAUCUGAAGUGUGGAGCGCUGUCUAUGUACUCCUGCAGGAUUCCCACAGGUUCUAAAUCACACACGGAUCCUCCAUGAGUACAGGAGACUCCCUGCUUUAGAGCCCCCCACCCUCAAAUUCAUGGAGGGCUCUAAAAUGUGUAUAGAUAAUGUCCUCAGGGGGGUGGGGUUUGACAGUAUGUCCCUUCACUUCUCACAAGUUUAUUUGUAUGUGAGGAAAAGAUCAAAUGCCUGAAUAGGGUUCAGCUUACACAGAAAAUGUUAAUAGGCACGCAUGUUAACCUAGGAGUCUUUAGAACGCCAAUGUACACCUAAAGGCUCACUCCUCUACGUGGAACCUCUUUCUGUGUAGAAAAUCAUCUUGAAAGAAGUACCCCUCAGUUGAAUGGAAGGGGAACCUCUCCAAUUCUAGAAGGUUCUUUUGUACUUUUAGACAGGACUGCCAUUAUCGGUUUGGACUGUGGUGAGAAAUUUGAGUGCCAGAAGGGAAGGAAGAUUUGUAGCAAGCUUCAAAGAUCUGCCCAAAAGCUGUGUUUAAAAUGCAUGUAUUGUGGGUCUGUCUUGUAUUCCUCAUAAUAGCCGGUUGUAUAGGUACUGCUGAGGAAUAAUCACAUGUGAUUGGAAAUGUGGGGUGGGUCUCCUUCCUCCCCUAGCGGUUCCCCCACUUCAAAAGACAUUUCUCAUUUUAUACUGUAACUUCUAAGGUGACUAUAAAAAGCACCUAUAAUUUUUGAAAUGAGAGAGUAGACCUAAGAGGAAAGCCACACGGGGGAGACUAAUGUCUGUCUUACUCAGCCUGUGGUCUUAAGAAUUCUCCAGAUUGUCAGAGCACCCUUCUGUUCUGCCACCCUUAUCAACAGGCAAGCUGGUCUUCAUUGCUUUUUCUCAGUGAUCAAGGUGAAGCACAUACCACAUUAUGUUUUGAUCCAACAAAACACUGUGAUAAUCUCCUCUUGAAUGUGAGGCUCUGUAGCUAACUUAACACAUGAGUUCUCUGAUGCAGCGAUGGAUUUUGAAUAGAUUUAGUUAUGUAUGCAGGAGGGAGGGAGGAUAGGCCAAAGUCAGUGCCCUUGAAAUGUCCAUGGACAGGAACAACACAGCAUGCCAUCUUCCUUCCCUCCUCCACAGCCCCGUCAUCAGCCCCCCACCGCCUUCCUCCCCCCCACAAGCCAGCUGCUACUCCUGCUGCUGCUUCCUCCAACCUGGGACCUCCAACAAUUGCCUCAAAUCGUGCUCUGAAGAAGAGACAGUUAAACUUUAGUGUUGCUGCUAUUGUGGGAGAGCAGCAGCAGCGCAGGCACACUGUGAGCACCUCAGGCACAAUGCCUCCUGCUGAAGAAGGACCCAUUCCUCUGAGUGAAGACUGGUGGGCCUAGAAAACCCUGCCGGAAUGCCAGUGGUCACUUUUCUGCGGUGGCUGCAGUGGCUGGCGGGCAGAGCAGCAGGUGGGUGGCAGGCUGGCUGCUGGCCAUGAUGGCAGGCAAGCCCAUGGGCUGUGGGUGAAGGACACAAUCUGCCGUCCCUGCUGAUUGGCCGCCUGAGGCACGUGUCGCACUGCACCUCAUUGUAGAGCCAGCCCUUUUCUUGGAUAAAACUGGGGCGCUUUGUACAGUGUGUUGCAUUGCACUGUACGUUCACCAGAUCUGACUGGGACUGCUUUAGUUCUCAAGAUGUAUGUGCAUUGAAGAAAUGAUUCUCCAGCCUUUGGAUUGCACAAAGGGGCGGAAGCCCACAGGUUUUUAAAAGCAGAAAUAUGAACGCCUCUUCCAGAAUGCAGAUCCUUGAAGCUUAUAUACCUGCGUGAUGAACUGGAGAUGGAUAGGCCCAUUUCUCCACCGGUCCAAGACAAUGAGCCAGGAAAAAAAAGUGAAUGUCUGGAUGAUAUGGAGACAUCCCACCUUUGAAACAAAAUGGCUGUGCUAUAGCAAGAGGGUGCAUACGAUCCCACCCGAGUUGAAAGGGUGUGAUACGAAAAAGAGACGAGCCUCAGGAGAUGUCUGCCUUCCGCUGAACAUUUUACUGGGUGCUAACACAUGGAAAUGGCUUUAAGCUUUGUACAGUGCACUGACAGUAGAGCAUACUGUCUCUGCCGGUAGGAGGAAAAAGUACUUCCUUUUCCACUCCUUUAUGGAGCCUGUAUGAGAACGGGGAGAGAGAGCACAAAAACCUCUCACUUUGGAACCAUUUGCUUCUUGUAGCAUUAAGACUUCCUGCCUCCACUUGGCGCAGGUGGUCAUUUUUUAAACUCUGCUGAGCAGCAUUCAGGCAGGAUGGGAAACAGAAUGGAGGUGGGAGGGUUUAUUCCUCUGUGAAAUGUAAACAAGGGGAGAUUAGCAAAAUCAUUUUGGAAAGUGAGUGAAUUUCUGAGCUAACCCUCCAAGCCUCCGCACCCUUGGCUUUGUUUAACUUUAGUCAUUAUGAGAGGGGCUCUUUUUAGCUCAUGGGGAUGUGCGCCAAAGGGGAUGAAGGCUGAGCAACUGGCUGUGGAGUCAGCUUGGACUUCUGCCAUUUGAAGGAUUUUUAAGUUUCUUACUUGGCAUCUGAAAAAAGAAAAGAAUAAAAGCAAAUCCUCCUCACACAACACAAAACAAAGCCAAGGUGUUGUUCUACAUGUAAUUAUGACCUGUACAGCCACUGCCACCCAUUUACUGUUUCAAACCAACCCCAUAACCACCCUGGCUCUACUGUUGUGCACUCAGUAUUAUCGAGUCGGUUCUGCCUUUCUUUCCUUCCAGUAUUUUGUUUUGUAGCUUGGACUAGAAAUUUUUUGUAUGACAGAAUAGCUAGUUUUAUAUAGCAGACUCUUUAAAUGAAGCAACUUUUUAACAGAAGAUCUUUAUUUUUCUACAGUAUUAAGCAAUUUGCUAACUGUUGAUGAGUUGGUUAAGAUAAGGCUUUUCUUUUUUCUUUCUUUUAUAAGCUACAGGCUUUUCAGAGAAGAUAGCCAAUAAGGGUUUACUUUUGUAUCUAGUGCGCAUUCCACGUUAAUUCUAUUUGCAACUGCCACUUUCUCUAUUGUAAAAAAAGGUAUGUUAUGUGCAUAUGUAUAUAUCUCUUAUAAAACAAAUAUGUAUGUUUUUAGAAAAGUGUAAUGUUUUCAUUUUCUAAUUGGUUAGAUCAUUGCUUUUUUAUGGGAACACUGUUGACACAGCGGUCCAGGAUGGUCUUCCACUCAUAAUAUUCCACAGGUAUAAUUUCCAAAAUGUAGGAUCAGCUUAAUAAUCUAGUGGCCUGAUCCCAGUGUUUCUGCAGUGGCACAAAAAUCAGACUUGAAGUGCAAAUUUAAUUAUGGAAUAUGUCAUCCCUUAAGUCCAAGAUAUGAAGAGUGCCGUUUUACAGUUACCUUCAAGGCACCUGUGGCAUGGAAUAAGUCACACAUGAAGAUACAACGUCACCCACAGAGGCUUCCUGGCUGGCACUGUGGUGCUGUUAAGGGGCUAGGGAAACAUCAACUUGUGAGUCCAGGGUCAAGUCCUUAUACCAGAUCUUACAAACAACUCCUAGCAUUGGGCUUCCAUGCUCUGUGUUUGCCUUUUUUAUAUUUACAUUCAUUUUAUUUUUUAAAUGACAACUCCAUGUCUGAUCCACUCCUGUGGCCUUACAAAGAGCUAUUUUUGACACUUUUUGAAAGCAUUCCUUUUUCAAAAUAUGCCAAGUGUAUUUUAAAAGAACCUUGUACAUUAUUAUAGGAUUGAAAGUGAUUUAACCUGCAUAACACUUUUUUUUAAAAUUACCUUUAUAUUCCACCUUUCCUCCAAGGAGCUCAAAGUAGUCUACGUGAUUCUUCCUUUUCCAUUUUAUCUGCACAACAACUAGGGUUGCCAGGUUCAUGGCCUGAGACUGAUCCUGUAUCUUUAGGAGAAGAGAAAGUCAGCCAAGUGCAGGUGUUCUGGCAACCCUGUAAUGGGGAAAACCACAAGGUGGAAUUCUCCCUCCCCGCUGCACAACUUUUAAAGAUACAGAAGACCUCUUGGUUGCCAGGCCCAGCCUCCAAGAGGUAGGUUAGGCUGAGAGACAGUGACCAACUAAGGUCACCGAAUAAGUUUCAUGGUCAAGUGGGAACUUGAACCUUGGUCUCCCAGGUCAUAUAGUUCAACACUCUAACCACUAUAAAUAAGGCUGUCCAUAUAUGUACUUGGUUGUCUGUUAUUCUCCAGUUUUUGUUUGCUAACGUACGUCUGAAAAUUUUUCUCUUUGCUUUGGACUUUUUAUAUGUUUACCCUCCUAAAGCCAUGUUAUCUGUUAAGCAUUUCAAGUUCCAAAUACCUUAUUUGGGGGUGGGUGAGUUCUAUUAUCUGGCCAAAUAUACUAAAUCUCCAUCUACUGUUGGCAACCACAACUGUUUAUCUGUAAUGCCUGAUUCUAUUACUCUGUAUUGAAUAUUUAAAGUUUGUUACACAUCUAAUCAAAAUAGUUGUAUAGUUUCCUUUCUUGGGAAACGUGUGUUUUCUUUUACAGCUGUAGGCAGGCUAUCAGUCUUCUCCCUUUUAGUCCUUCAAAUAUUUUGAUAUCAUAGCUGCUGAACAGAAGGGAAGAGCCUACUCAGUUGUAGUAUUCUAGUGAUUCCUAAAAUAAAUUAACAAAUAUAAUCAUUCAUUUGUUCAAUGUUCACAGUUUUUAAAAAGGUGCUCUUCUGCAUAAAAACUCAUGCAAAAUGGUUUGCAAAAUAAUAAGAGCACAGCAAGAAAAUCAAUUAAAAGAAAAUACAGAAAAAUCACUUAAAUAACUUCUAGUGCAAUCUUACACAUAUCUAACUCAGUAAGCCCUCGCUUACUCACAGGUGAGUAACUAUGCUUUAAGUAGAAUUCCUGUAUCAAGUAGGGUUGUUAGGUCUCUACUUUUUGCCCAAAGACUCUGGAUUGUUGGGGUCCUCUCUGGGUCUCCAGGGAAGUCACCUUACACUUUGGACUAUCAGCUUUCAUUUUUUUAAAAAAAUAAGUUUCUAAGUGGUCUGGUUCAAGAGAUAUACACCAAAGCAUCAGCCGCUACCCCCGUAACUUCUGUUAAAUGAACUGUAGCUGGCUGCUCUAACCCCACCCUUUCAAGUUUGUAGUCAAUAAGUGAAGUCAGGGUUGUUGAUUGACAAGGGAUAUGUUGACCUUCAGGCAGUACCUAGACCCCAUUGCAACGCCAGAAAACUGUUAUCUGAAAAUCUCACAAAUUGAGUAAUAGCUUUCAGUCUUUUUCUCUCUUGUGUGCAGGAGUCAAACAAGUUUAAAUUUUCCUGGGCUGUUGAAGAGGUCAGGGUUUUGAAAACCUUCCCAAUAUGAAGCUGUAAUUCUACACUCACUUUUCUGGGAGUUAAGCUGCAAUGCUAAUCCCACAUACCCAGAGUUAAUCCCAUUGAAUUCAAUAGGACUUACUUUUGAGUAGACAUGGUUAGGAUUGUGUUGAAAAUUAAUAGGACUUUUGAGUGAACAUAGCAAAGAAUUGUGUUUGUAUUGUAAAUCUAUCUCCCCUGCAAUCCUAUUUUUAAAGUAAUUAGGCAGGGCUUACCUAGAUGCCACUGCUUUUGUUAUGUAGGAAACUAAUACUGAUUUUAUUUUUUUUAAAAAAAUGUUCUGCAAUG